rnacentral:rRNA from 1 species
AACGAACGCUGGCGGCAUGCCUAACACAUGCAAGUCGAACGAGACCUUCGGGUCUAGUGGCGCACGGGUGCGUAACGCGUGGGAACCUGCCCUUAGGUUCGGAAUAACUCCCCGAAAGGGGUGCUAAUACCGGAUAAUGUCUUCGGACCAAAGAUUUAUCGCCUUUGGAUGGGCCCGCGUUGGAUUAGCUAGUUGGUAGGGUAAAAGCCUACCAAGGCGACGAUCCAUAGCUGGUCUGAGAGGAUGAUCAGCCACACUGGGACUGAGACACGGCCCAGACUCCUACGGGAGGCAGCAGUGGCGAAUAGUGGACAGUGGGCGAAAGCCUGAUCCAGCAAUGCCGCGUGAGUGAUGAAGGCCUUAGGGUUGUAAAGCUCUUUUACCCGGGAUGAUAAUGACAGUACCGGGAGAAUAAGCUCCGGCUAACUCCGUG